UCAAAUAUGCGCAUUUCGGUAAAUAAUACAGAACAUGUGUAUUUCAGUAAUUUUUUAUUUUUUUUUACAAUAUUUAUAAAAAAAAAAGCCAAUAAAUGUAUAGUGUCUUGUUUUCCAUUAAAUCAAGGUGUUAACUUACGAAUCAGAGAGAGAGCCGUCGGACAGAAGCGUGAAGUUUCUGCCGAACUCUGCGUCGCUGGCCGAGGCCCGGUGUCGCGUGAUUGAUUUCUUUAAGAACGCACGCCGAUCGAUCCCUACCAUAAUGGAGAUCGAUGUCAUCACGGUCCCCCAGCUUCGCUAAACCAUCUCCUCCAGGAUCCGCAAAAACGCCCACCUCUCUAACCCCAACCCCAAGUUUUAGGCUGAAUUUGAACAAUUAAGCUUGAUUGGAGGAAAUUACAAAACAAACAGAAACUGCUUCCCCUUCAACCUCUUGAAGAUAUCUUCUUGCAGCUUGUUCAUGUUUGUGGUGGUGGUGUGGUUAUUGUUGUUGUGGUUGUAGUCAGCUGGAUGUAUUCCUUGACUCUUCUGUCAUUGUAGACGAGCUGUGUGAGUGUGGUACCCAUGCCAACAACAGGGUGGAUUACAAAUUUACGAGGAUUGCUGAAUUCUAAUGCUUAUAUUCUCUUUAUCUUGCUCUCUUCCAAAAACAUGAGAACCAGCAACCAGUGAGCUGGUUUGAGGCCUCUCUUCAAUUUCAUUUUUAAUUUCAAGUUCAACCCGGUUGUGCCUGCUUCUGCCCAACACUUGAAGACCAAGAACACCUUGUUCUUUAAGAGAUACUUUCUAACCUCUUAUCGAUGAUGCCUUUGAUCUUUCGUGGAAGCAAGCAAACCUUUGUUGACGCAAUAAUAUCAAAUGAGAAGAUGCCUUGUUACCUUUGGACGUGGAGCUGCCGCUGUGUACCCGUCUAGCAGGCCAUCGUUGUCAUAGGCCACAUCUUUGAGCUUCAUGAGCCAACGCGGCACCGGCUUAAGGGGUUGUUUGGAUUGGUUUUUAAAAAAAGUGUUUUUUUUUAAUUUUGCAGAAGCACUUUUGGAAAAAGUACUUUAAGAAUAAGUUAAGUGCUUAUGCAUAUUUUUUCGUUUAGAUGUAUUAGUUUCAGAAACACUUCUGUAGUUGUGAAAA